GACGAACGCUGGCGGCGUGCUUAACACAUGCAAGUCGAACGGAAAGGCCCUGCUUUUGUGGUGUGCUCGAGUGGCGAACGGGUGAGUAACACGUGAGUAACCUGCCCUUGACUUUGGGAUAACUUCAGGAAACUGGGGCUAAUACCGGAUAGGAGCUCCUGCUUCAUGGUGGGGGUUGGAAAGUUUCGGCGGUUGGGGAUGGACUCGCGGCUUAUCAGCUUGUUGGUGGGGUAGUGGCUUACCAAGGCUUUGACGGGUAGCCGGCCUGAGAGGGUGACCGGCCACAUGGGGCCUGAGAAACGGGCCAGACUCCUACGGGAGGCAGCAGUGGGGAAUAUUGCACAAUGGGCGGAAGCAUGAUGCAGCAACGCCGCGUGCGGGAUGACGGCCUUCGGGUUGUAAACCGCUUUCGCCUGUGACGAAGAGUGAGUGACGGUAAUGGGUAAAGAAGCACCGGCUAACUACGU
rnacentral:rRNA from 1 species